rnacentral:misc_RNA from 1 species
UUUCCGUAGGUGAACCUGCGGAAGAAUCAUUAUCAUGAAUCCAUGUUUAACAACUUUGUGAAAAUGUAUUGAAGUCCAAACUGGGUGGCUUUUCGGGGGUAAAAUCCUGCAAAACCAUUUGGCUUGGCAAAUUUAAACCUUUUGAAUUUUGACUAACGUGUCUCUACCCCGUAAAACGGGAUUGACAAAAUAAAAAAUUAAAAACAACUCUUAGCAACGGAUAUCUCGGCUCUCGCAUCAAUGAAGAACGCAGC